GACACAGUAGGACCAUAAGGGGAACGGAACAGCUUUGGUUUUAAGCCUGCAGACCACAAGGAGCCACGUGUAAAUUUCCUCCUGACUCUAGAGAAGGGAUCUGGAGCCUGGGGGCAAGGUCAGGGCAGAGAUGGCCAUGUAGGACCUCAGCCUGGAGGAGGUAGGAGAUGGGGUGCAGUCUCUGCAGGGAGAAGGAUUCCAACACUGCCUCCCAGGGGACGGCUGUCACUGGGCUGGGGUGGCAAGUGGCAUCGCAGCUUCACUCUUCCUUCCUGGUCACUCCCCUUCGGUCCUGGGGGACAGAGAGCAAUGCAGGAUAAAGACAGUGCGAGGUGGGGCUAUUACUCUCCCCUCCCCAAGGCCAGGAAGGGACCUAUGGAUCUGCCACUGUUUGUGGUCCUGGAGGGCUUUGCUAGGUCAAGGCACCUGUCAAAGCCUCCCUUUGCCCUCUCAAGCCACAGGGAGAAGACCAGAGGUGGCCCAUCUUUAUCGGCAAUCUCGGAUGACCCAACCAAUAUACGUCAAUAACGAAUUGUGUGAUCUCGUGCAAGUCGCUUUGCCCUGCUGACCCAGUUGCAUUGUGAAAUAAUAGCUAAGGAGAUAAUGGACAGCGGGUAUUUUGCGAACUUUGUGCUGAUAUGCACAGGUUAGUCCCCAUGACAAUGACUCUCUGAUUCUGUUGUCUGGAACGCUGGAAAACUGCUCUCCCUCUCUCAGGAAUUCACAGGGCGAAAAUGCUUCUGAUCCUGAGCCGCCGGGAAGGACCAGGUUUCUGGUUUCUGGGGCAAGGUGAGCCCCUUUCUCUCAGGGAUCCGAGGGGGAAAGGAGAAUUCCCUGCUCCUGGGGUGGGUUCUUCUGGAAGCCACACCACCCUUCCUUGCCUCCGAGCAGGGCGCCCGGCCCCAGUUCUGUCUGGAAACACCUUGCCUAGCCCCGGGGCCAGCCCUGUCUCAGCAAGGCCUCAGCCACGUGGAACCUGAAAGCUGCCAAGGUCGCCGCCGUGAAGGUUGGAUGAUCUGGUGGAGGGGUUCCUCGCACUGGCCGGGUCGGCGCUCAGCAGACAGCGCCAUCAACACGGUGAUGAAAGUGAGAAUCGGGGUCCACGAACGGCGCCAGGCUGGAGAUGACCAAGACCCAGGCACUGUCGAGAACUCGGGGCUCUACGUUUGCUGGUUCUGCUGUUGUUUUGCAACUCUGUAGCAUUUGAACGGGAGGCCAGGAGUCCCGCUGCGAGAGGGGAAGCGAGGGUGGUGGGCGAGCCCCUUCCCACCCCGGCCCCGUCAAGGAUUCGCGGCCCUGUGAGCAAAGCACUUUGUGACUCACGGCCGCUCCAGGGCAGGCUCUCGGGUGAAGGAAGCAUGCUUUGUGGGUUGGUCUUGCAGGGGGGAGUCCGACAUCCUGAGGGGCAGGGGGCAUCACGAGCGGAUGUUGGUCUGCCCCCGGAGGGAGGGAGAGGGUUCGAGAAAGAACAAUCCUAGUUCGGUCUGGAGAAAUGAUUUGGAUGCUCAGAGCAGACCGCCUGGGAAACGAACAGGUGAGUCAGCUCAGCUCGGACGGAGGGAAGGAGAAGAUCGGUUUUCUUUUUCGGAAGCAGAAGCAAAGGUUCCUAGCCGGUGGUGACAGGGACGAAGGCGAUGACGGCAGCUGACAGACACGCAGGGCGUUUGUUUAUUACGAAUGCGGUGUGUCAGACACCCACCUCAGCUCGGCUGACCCUCAGCACAGCCUGGGGGGUAAAUGCGGGUAUUAUCUCUGUUUUUUAGAUGAGGACUCGGAGCCCGCAGUAAGAUUAAGGAGCUGGCCCUGGUCACUGGGUCACUCGACUGGCUGAGUGGGGGCCGGGAUCUCAGGCCCCAGGCCGAGCACACCUGGGCCAGACGCAGCCGCCGAGGCCUGGAAAGGGGAAUGGCCGGCCCACAGAACACAGCCAGGGAGAGUCCAGCCCGGGACCGGAACCCCGUCUUCUGAGGCUCAUGCUAACGUCCUUCCUGUCCUUCCGCAAAGAAGGACUAAGGUACGUGCUGGGGUCCGAGGCCUCCAGCUCGUCCUCAUAGAGCGGACUGUUGCAGUGCAGGCUGACGGCCGGGGAGGGAGAAGUUUGAGGUUCCAGGGUGUUGAUGGGGGAGGAGAUGGGGCUCCGGGCAGACCUAAGCAGGGACAGCGUGCCUGGAAGGGCGUGUGCGGGUCGUGUGUGUGUGUGUGUGUGUGUGUGUGUGUGUGUGGCCAAGGGUGACCUCCUGGAGGAAGUUCCUUUCCAUCUGCCUCUGACUGGUGACAAGGAAUGGGGCCAAGGUCAGGGCUGGGGAGGGAGGGAGAGCGCCCCUCCCCGGCAGAGGGUGCACGGGACAGGCAGGCUGGAACCUGAGCAGCCUCCAGAUGACAGUCAAGUGGCCACAGGAAGACUCCAAUGGGGAGCGAGCGGAGAACGUGAAGGGAUGGAAGAGACCUGGUGUAGAUUCCACGCUGCCUUCCACAACUCCCGCAGGGGUCCUCAAACUUUUCA